CUCUUCUUAUUCUUCACGGAUCCUCUUAUUCGUUCCUCUUCUUCUUCAUUGUUUCAUUCAAUGCUUCAUCAAUUCAUCUUAAUCAAAUCAAAAUUCUGGAAAACUAAAUUCAUCUUCGUGCAACAUCUUCAUCUUCAUCAAUUCAUCCAAAUCCAAAUUGAAAUUCUGGAAAAUGGUGUGGGUUUAAACCCAUAUCUUCAUCUUCUAUUUUGAUAUUCAUUUCUGCUUCUGGGUGUGUUUUGUUCAAUUUGUUUCUUGUUUCCUCUUCAAUACACUAUCUGGUUUUCUGAUCGAUCUGGACAGUGAUGCUUGUUAUUGAGUUUGAUCAUCAAAUUCAUCAUCUUCAUCCCCCAAUUCAUUUCUCAGAUGUGUAAUUACUACCCUUUACACCAUUCAUCUUUCUCACAACCACACUUAGAUCCAAUUCGAUCAAAUUGUUUAUGGAAAUUGGGUCUUUAACAAAGUUACUGCACCAAGAUCUGGAACUUUUAUGUAUUUUCCCUCAAUCAUGAAGGUCACUCCGACCUUAUUGUUGUGUUGUGUUGUGUUUUGUUCGCUUUUAUUUAAGUUUGUGAAGAUAAUUUUAUGAGCUUUGUUUCUGCUUGAUUCAUCUUGAUCUUUUAUACUUCAAUUAUGAAUUUAGAUUUGGGAGGAAGAAGAAUGAUACGAAGAAGGAGGACGAUUAUGAGCUUGGUUUCUGCUUGAUUCAUCUUGAUCUUUUAUGCUUCAAUUAUGAAUUUAGAUUUGGAAGGAAGAAGAAUGAUACGAAGAAGGAGGACGAUUAUGUUUGUUUCAUUAAGAUGAGAAUGAUAGGAAGUGAUUAAUUUCUAAAAAAAAUUAUGUUUGUUUGAUUAAGAUGAUAAAGUUUAUGAAAAUGAUGAAGAAAGAGUGGAGGGAAGAAGAUGAUACUAAGAGAAGAUGAAC
rnacentral:lncRNA from 1 species